ACGUAGGUGGCAAGCGUUGUCCGGAUUUACUGGGCGUAAAGGCUGCGUAGGUGGAUAUUUAAGUCAGAUGUGAAAUACCCGAGCUUAACUUGGGUGCUGCAUUUGAAACUGGAUAUCUAGAGUGCAGGAGAGGUAAGUGGAAUUCCUAGUGUAGCGGUGAAAUGCGUAGAGAUUAGGAAGAACACCAGUGGCGAAGGCGACUUACUGGACUGUAACUGACACUGAGGCAUGAAAGCGUGGGGAGCAAACAGGAUUAGAUACCCUGGUAGUCCACGCCGUAAACGAUGAGUACUAGGUGUAGGGGGUAUCGACUCCCUCUGUGCCGCAGUUAACACAAUAAGUACUCCGCCUGGGAAGUACGGUCGCAAGAUUA
rnacentral:rRNA from 1 species